CGAGUUCAAAUUUCUCUUUCCAUAAGUUAAGUGAAUUUAGAGCAUAUCCAAAUAUGUUAUUUCAACUUGCAUGAUUGGUCUUACAAUUCUUGUACGACAUAAUAAAACGUGCACAUGUACAAUUGCGAAAAUCGAACUUAUAAUGCGCACGAGCACAUGAACAAAAACAGUAACAUUUUGCGUAAAAUGUAUAUACGUGACUGAGUUAAAAAAUCUAGGCUAGAGCUAGGCUUUUGACAAACGAGAAUUAACUUUUCAUUUUUAUAAUUGAGUAGACAACUAUCAGAAAUCAAACCAUUUUGGUAUCCGAAUAAGUUGGGUGCAUACUUUGAAAAUAUUUAUAUCAGAAAUUCCUAGUUAUCAGAAUUGCAAAAUGCCAUUCUGACUUUCAUUUUAACUUUUGAAAAAACAUUCAGAUUCAAAAUAUUUGUGUACAGAUUCAAAAAAUUUAUUGUCGAAAAUUAGAAAUCCAUUCCAACUUAACUCCUAGUUGAAUCUUAUUAUUUAAAUCAUAAAGAUAUCAUAAGAGUUGAACUCUAGCUUACCUGAAAUAAAUAAUUUCAUCUUUAUCACAAACCGAAUGUUGUAUCCACCAUUAGCUAUUCAUGGUUGGAACAUAAAAAAAAAUAGAGAUAAUUAGUAAGUGAUAAUCAUUUGACACGAACAAUUCAUAAGUUAGUUAUCAUUAUCCAU
rnacentral:lncRNA from 1 species